GCCUCGCGGAGGAGCUGGCACCGCCUACCGGGCAGCAGAAACCGACGGCCCGAGGGCGCGCUGACCCGCCAGCUGCCUUUCUCCGCAGGUUGCCGUCCAUGCACGCUGCCAUCUACACACCCGUCCCGGCCGUAGCUCACCCCCUUUUAGGCCUUCUUGCCCACGGGAACUCAACCUGGGCACCUUGCCUGAGGCGGCGGUGGAUGGUUCUGUGAGCCCCGGCGGAGAUGGAGUGGGAAUUCGAAAAGCUCUCUCGGGCAAGGAGCAGGAGAGAUGAGGAUCUGCCAUGGGAAGAAGUGAUGGGAACACUCAGCCAAGACCUCGAGCCAAGCAGAGAGAAAAGCCUGCAGACAGCAGCUCAGAUACCAAGUCCAUUCCAAUGCCUAUCCAUCAAAAUGAGUGUCAGAAGUUAAAACAAGAGAUGUGUCCAGACAUGUCAUUUCAUGACACAUUUUGCA